rnacentral:rRNA from 1 species
AUUGAACGCUGGCGGCAGGCCUAACACAUGCAAGUCGAGCGGAUGAAGGGAGCUUGCUCCUGGAUUCAGCGGCGGACGGGUGAGUAAUGCCUAGGAAUCUGCCUGGUAGUGGGGGAUAACGUCCGGAAACGGGCGCUAAUACCGCAUACGUCCUGAGGGAGAAAGUGGUGGAUCUUCGGACCUCACGCUAUCAGAUGAGCCUAGGUCGGAUUAGCUAGUUGGUGGGGUAAAGGCCUACCAAGGCGACGAUCCGUAACUGGUCUGAGAGGAUGAUCAGUCACACUGGAACUGAGACACGGUCCAGACUCCUACGGGAGGCAGCAGUGGGGAAUAUUGGACAAUGGGCGAAAGCCUGGUCCAGCCAUGCCGCGUGUGUGAAGAAGGUCUUCGGAUUGUAAAGCACUUUAAGUUGGGAGGAAGGGCAGUAAGUUAAUACCUUGCUGUUUUGACGUUACCAACAGAAUAAGCACCGGCUAACUUCGUG